rnacentral:lncRNA from 10 species
CUCAUCCUUACUCCCCAGGGUUGGGGCUGGGUGGGAGGGAGGCAGGCAGGGAGAGAGGAUAUCUUUUUCAUUCAUUACAUUAGAAUAACUUCUUUUCCAUGCUGAAAGCUUAAUGAUUUGUUUUCUAGGUCACCUCAAAAUGUCCCCAAGCCAUCGCUGGAACUACCCGAUGAAGUCAUUCUUCCUUACAAAGUAGAUUCCGUUGCUAGGGCUGCCAUAACCAAAUGCCGCAGCCUGGGUGGCUUCAACAGAAUUUCAUUUCCCCACAGUCCUGGGAGCUGGAAGCCCAAGGUCCAGGUGUGAGCAGGGCUGGUUUCCCCUGAGGCCUCUCUCCUUCGCCUGCAGGCGCUAUCUUCCAAUUCAGCCAUUCGGAGGUCUUGGCGGUUGAAACUUCAAGACAGGAAUUUGGAGUGAGGACACAGUUCAUUCCAUACACAAAGACAGGAGCGGCUUCAUCCAGAACCCGGAAGGUCUGUCCCUCUACAGAAACCCAGAUCUAAUCGUGUCGCAUCCCACACCAGGAAUUUCCAAACUUUGAUGCCAUUACAGUCUGAGAGAGCAUGACUGACGCAAGUGAGCCGGGAGCACAGGCAGGAGCACAGAGCCCAGCUGCCUCCCGCACCCCCUCCACCCACCCCAUCUACAGCUCAUUGCAUUAGCAGCCGCCUCUCGCCCCUCUACCCACGCCAUCUAGAGCCCACUGCGUCAGCCCAGAGGAUAUGUCAUUUGGCAGCAAAGCCUCAUCACAGAUAGAACCAGCUCCUCAGGCACCCUCAUUCCUGGAGAGGCACUUGACGGGGCAGAGCCUGAAGCAGAGUUUCCAGGAAGACAAGAAGGCCAACUUCCCUAGGAACUGCAGAUGGAGGUCCCGCUCAUGUGUUUCUGCGAAUUAAGGUGGGGCCUUGGUGAAAGAGCAGAAGAGCUCCCCAAG